UGUAUGUGAAUCCACCUGCUGGGACCAACAAUGACUCAUCUGUUUAUAGCAGAGCAAAGGUAACUGGGGAUGCAAAAGUUGACAGCUGCCUCCCUGGAGACCAUUGCACCUGGAAACAAGGGCACUGGGUUUCAACUGGAAAUGUUUGCAUUGGCACAGACCCAGGCUGGAUAAAGUGUGCCAGAGGAGAGGUCACGCCAUGAGGAGAUGAGUGAGCACACGCACAUAUUUUAAAGAAAUGGAGUCUUCACACCCGACUGGCUGUUUCAAGACACUCUUAUGGCUGCCCUGAGCAGCUCAGAGGCAGAUUUCUUUUCUUGGUGGAGGUCAAAAGAGGACUCUUCACAGAAGAUGGCUGAAAUUGAGCAAACACACAAUCCCAGAUGGUUUCAGACAGGGGGAUAAAAAUGAAUAAACCAAUAUGGGUUCAUCGAAGUUAACAAAUGCACCACUCUGUGUGAGUGUGUGUGUAUGGCGAGGGACUCUGUAAUUUGAAGGAAGCCAUCAAGUUCUUGGAUAAUUGCUGAGUGGAAUUGAUGGAAAUGAGAGGAGGGAAGAUUUUCAGAGCAUGUUUGAACUUGUUCCUUGCUUUGGACCCCUCGUACACACUGACAACUGAAUAUGGAUUUCAUGAGCUGAUAAACAAGGGUAUUGGACUUGAGUGUUUUGCUUUCUUGUUUGCAAGCUUUGUGUUUGUUUCCUUUUCUCUAAGAGAACAGUUGCUUACUCCCCUUAUGGCCCCCAACCACAUAUUGGGAAAUAUGGGCCAAGUUUACCUUUUAAUCAUUUAUCAUGUUGUUGCUUAUUCUUGAAUUUGAUGGAUGAAAUAAAUGACCCGGAGUUUGUAAUUAAUAGAACCCCAUCACCACUCCAACCCCAACUCAUGAACCAAUGACUUCUACUUGUGCCUGUCAUAUUAACAAAUAUGUUAGAGGCCUAAAUUUAAAUCUGGAGCUAAGCUGAUGAUCUCAGUUGAAAUACUCUGAUUCAUUCUGAACAAUCAAUCAUUUGAUAGAAUAGUCUUAGUUUUUCCAUCUGUAAAAUGAAUUCAAUGUUGGUAACUCUGGUGUUAAAUUAAAAUAACUUUAAGAAAAUUGCU